CCCUGGCUCCUGAGAAGUUCUCAGCAUUGACACCACUUGCACAGUGAAGAUGUUUCCAUGAUGCUGCUGUGCCUGUGGUCCCUUGAGCAACCACAGGGAAAGAGUUCAGGACUUGGCAUCAGUGCUUAUUCUAGCCUUCACUGAUGCAGCCCCAGAGAGGGAAUUUGAAGUCUGGGGCUGUUGUAGUCACACUGCUGUGAGACGCCGAUUGAGCUUGUAAAUGUGUAGAUGGACCUGUUCUUAUCUCCGGAUAGAACUUACAGUGUUUACCACCAUGCUACCUUUCUCUGCAGAGCUGCCAUUUUGGUAGUAACAGUCUUUUCCUGUACAAUGUCACCAUCCCCUUCCUAAGGAGACGCCACUAAAACACUUUAUCUUGAAAACUACAGAUGACCUGGAAAAAUGUGGUUUAUAAACACAACCAAGGUCAACAUCAGAUUGACUCUCCCACAGCCAACUAAACACUGAUUACAGUCAUUCAGGGCAUCAGGGUAGACUGGAUGAGGGAAGCAGGAAGAAUGGACCAUAAUAAAGUUUGCCAUUUGAGACAGAGAGGAAAGUGCCCAAUGCCUGGUCCUGUAAGAUACUUUUGCAGUAUAGUUAUCUUGUUUGAUUCAUGAUGCAGAAUGUAGGAAAGAAAGAAAUGUGACUUAAGAGUGUGGCAGUCCCUCAUUUUCCAUUUAUCCUACAUCAUGUGUCACAUUCGUAUCAAUAAAAGUCAGAGUUAAAAUGUAUCUCAGGAACCUAUUAGCACAGCUUGGUUUUCCAUGAGUUUAUUUUUCUUGCCUGCUGUAUAUGAAUCCCUUAAGGCUACAUGGCUGUGGUUUGAUGGCCAUGGUUUUGUUCUGGAAUGGGAUAGAUUAAACAGCAGUGCUCCAAAGAAAUGGUUCAGUCACUAAUCAUCCAACCAUUUGUCCAACACACAGGCUGAGUGACAGCUGUCCGUCAGUCCCAGUGCCAUUGAUUUUCAGGGAUAUCAAAACAAGUGAGUCCAGGACAGUCUCAAAGAAAACAUAGUCCCAGCACUGUAACCUCAGACAUUAAUGUCUAGUUCUGAUAUCCCACAGUUCUUAGAAAUGGGUGAGUGCUGCUGAAGUGGAAAUGCAGAGGAAGUAACAGACAUGAGGGGGAGGCAAUGAGGUUAGCAUUUGAAAAUGGACAGAUUCUGAUUUGUUAGAGAAGAGAGAGAAAAAUGAGUGGCAAUCCAGGCAAGAGACAAAGACAUAUGGUGAGCUGACAGAAGAAUAAAUAGUUUGAUCAUAUUUGAAGUGGGCCAGGGAGAGGAAAAUGACAUUUGUCAUUUAACCCAAGCUUAACUGGCCAGGGACAGACAUUGCAAUCGUGGUGCUGUGUUGCCACUGUGUAUCCCGUUUCUUUCUUUUAGAACUGAGCAGGAAGUGGCACUCCAGAAUCAGGACCCCCGCUAUGUAAACAGCUGCACGGGCUUCACAAUAACCUUGUUUUCCCAUAAUUAGGUAAACAGGAACCAAUACCAUGAUACAUUAUCAAAAGCAAAGACAGCUGGCCACAGCCACCCUCUACAAACACACAGAGACUUUCCACAUUUCAGAAGAAUAGAAAGUGCCACUUUUUCUAAACAGACACUCUCCAUGUUGGAGGAUAUUGUGUUACCAAAUUUUUUUUAUAGCCCAUUAGAAACUGUAUCUGCAGCCCAGGUCUGCCCAUUGAUUUCCAGAAAGCAUACCGGCAGAGCCCCACAGUUCCAUUUGAUGAUGAACUUUUAGAGUUUAAGCUGAUGUUGAAGUCACAAAAGAGCCCCCCCCCUACUCAAUCAAGUCAGACAGCUCAGCAUAAGAGGAAGCAGCUUCAACUUCUCACCCUUGGAGAGCCGUAAAACAUACAACGUCUUUUAAGGACAAGACACAAGUGUAAAAGCAGAAGAAUAAAACCUCCUAACACUUCUUUGAGACACGCAAGCACACUUAGGAGCAAUUGGCACCUUAUUUUUGUGUUCACAUGUUCUCUUUGAAAACAUACUUAACAAACAUGCCUGAGAGUGGAAGCUGAGAAGUACUCAAACCACAUCAGCCGGCCCUUUGUUAAGCUAACCCAGCCAUCCUUUCUGAUCAGACUUAAUUCUCUGAUUAUGGGAUGUUUACAGAGUCCAGGUUCCACCUAGUAGUACCCCCCAUUUUAAUUUUAAUUAAGCUGGUUUAUUUCUUCAACUUUCUUUCCAAUUUGCAAAAGCCCCUUCAAUUUCAAAGUCCUUUACCACUGACUUGCCUGUUCCCCAACCAGCACCCAGAACUUUAAAAAGUUGUUGUUAUUU